UAGGGAAUAUUGCUUAAUGGGCGCAAGCCUGAAGCAGCAACGCCGCGUGUGCGAUGACGGCCUUCGGGUUGUAAAGCACUUUUCACCGGGAAGAGGAAGGACGGUACCGGUGGAAUAAGCCUCGGCUAACUACGUGCCAGCAGCCGCGGUAAAACGUAGGAGGCGAGCGUUAUCCGGAUUUACUGGGUGUAAAGCGCGUGCAGGCGGUUGGCGAAGUUGGGUGUGAAAGCUCCUGGCUCAACUGGGAGAGGUCGCUCAAGACUGGCCGACUGGAGAGCAGGAAGGGAUGGUGGAAUUCCGGGUGUUGUGGUGAAAUGCGUAGAUAUCCGGAGGAACACCAGUGGCGAAGGCGGCCUUCUGGACUGCAUCUGACGCUCAGACGCGAAAGCUAGGGGAGCAAACG
rnacentral:rRNA from 1 species